rnacentral:miRNA from 1 species
UCCCUUUCCCAGAUUUGUGAUCUUUAGUUUUGCUGUGUGACCCAUUUAGUUUAACCAGGGACAUCAGUGUGACUAUGGGAUUAGGACU